rnacentral:lncRNA from 1 species
AUGAGGGCGGUCAUAUCACCAGAGCGCGCUCUGGUACUUCAGCAGCUCACGGCCUCUGUCAGGAACAAAGCCUGUUUCCCUCUGAAGUUCUUUCAGAGGAUGCUAGGGCUGAUGGCUUCCGCCUCCCCAGUUUUACAACUCGGCCUCCUACGAAUGCGGCCCCUGCAAUACUGGCUGAAAUUCCGGGUCCCACCUCAUGCUUGGCGGCAUGGCCGCUUUCGCAUCAGGGUCAACGAGGCCUGUCUAGCAGCCCUGGAGCCUUGGAUGAACCCUGUUUGGUUCAGUCGUGGAGUACCCCUACAGGCGGUUUCCAGAAGGAUUGUGCUCUCAACAGAUGCGUCCAGCCUGGGUUGGGGUGCUCUGUGUGAGGGCAGACCAGCCUUCGGCUCGUGGUCGCACGAGGAAAGCCAUCUCCAUAUCAACUGCCUCGAGAUGCUGUCAGUGGAACAAGCCCUUCAAUCCUUUCAGGCGAUCCUGGAAGGGCGCCACAUCCUAGUCCAGUCGGACAGCAUGACAGUGGUGUCCUACAUAAAUCACCAAGGCGGCCUUUCGUCCAGCCGCCUCUGCGCACUGGCAAAGCGCCUCUUGGAAUGGGCAUUACCCAGGUUGCGAUCGCUCAAGGUGACACACAUACCUGGCAAGACGAAUCUGGGAGCAGACAUGCUUUCACGGAGCAAUGUCCCCUCGGACGAGUGGAUGCUCCAUCCCCAGACGGUUCUCAAAAUCUGGGAGAUUUUCGGGAAGGCAGAGGUCGACCUCUUCGACUCAGAAAGCAACUCUCAUUGCCCAACUUAUUUUUCAAAGGAAACAGAUGCGCUGGCCCACAACUGGCCCAGCCUCCUUCUUUAUGCUUUUCCCCCGAUCACUCUGAUCCCUCAGGUCAUCAGACGAGUCAGGGAAGACGGGCACAGAGUCCUCCUAGUGGCCCCACUCUGGAGGAGCCAAGUUUGGUCCUCGGAGCUUUUCAGGCUUUCCAUGAAAGCCCCAUGGCCGAUCCCCCUGAGGCGGGACCUCCUCUCUCAGGCGAACAGGACAAUCUGGCAUCCACAGCCAGAACUCUGGGCUCUGCAUGUAUGGUCCCUCGAUGUGAGCCUCUGA